rnacentral:rRNA from 1 species
UACGUAGGGUGCGAGCGUUGUCCGGAUUUAUUGGGCGUAAAGAGCUCGUAGGCGGUUCGGUAAGUCGGGUGUGAAACCUCCAGGCUCAACCUGGAGACGCCACCCGAUACUGCUGUGACUCGAGUCCGGUAGGGGAGCGUGGAAUUCCUGGUGUAGCGGUGAAAUGCGCAGAUAUCAGGAGGAACACCAGCGGCGAAGGCGGCGCUCUGGGCCGGAACUGACGCUGAGGAGCGAAAGCGUGGGGAGCAAACAGG